GAGGAGGAGCGAGAGAAACUCUAUAAUGUCAUCAGCCUCGAGUUUAGCCACACCAGGCUGGAGAAUAUGGUGCAGAGGCCCUCCACGGUGGAUUUCAUUGACUGGGUAGACAACAUGUGGCCAAGGCACUUGAAGGAAAGCCAGACUGAAUCAACAAAUGCCAUCUUGGAGAUGCAGUACCCUAAAGUGCAGAAGUACUGUCUAAUGAGUGUUCGAGGCUGCUAUACUGACUUCCAUGUGGACUUUGGUGGUACCUCUGUUUGGUAUCACAUCCAUCAAGGGGGAAAGCCCACAACCUGGAGCUGUACGAGAAUUGGCUGCUGUCAGGGAAACAGGGAGACAUCUUUCUGGGUGACCGGGUAUCAGAUUGUCAGCGCAUUGAGCUCAAGCAGGGCUAUACCUUCGUCAUUCCCUCAGGCUGGAUUCAUGCUGUGUAUACUCCUACAGACACAUUAGUGUUUGGGGGCAAUUUUUUGCAUAGCUUCAACAUCCCUAUGCAGUUAAAAAUAUACAACAUUGAAGAUCGGACACGGGUUCCAAAUAAGUUUCGCUAUCCAUUCUACUAUGAGAUGUGUUGGUAUGUGUUGGAGCGCUAUGUGUACUGCAUAACCAACCGUUCCCACCUAACCAAGGAAUUUCAGAAAGAGUCCCUCAGCAUGGAUUUGGAGUUAAAUGGGUUGGAGUCUGGGAAUGGGGAUGAGGAAGCAGUGGAUCGAGAACCCCGACGCUUGAGCAGCAGGCGUUCUGUCCUCACUAGCCCUGUAGCGAAUGGAGUCAACCUGGAUUAUGAUGGACUGGGCAAAACCUGCCGAAGUCUUCCAAGUCUGAAGAAAACUUUGGCUGGGGACUCAUCUUCUGACUGUAGCCGGGGCUCCCACAAUGGACAAGUGUGGGAUCCCCAGUGUGCUCCCCGAAAGGACAGGCAAGUGCAUCUGACCCAUUUUGAGCUUGAAGGCCUUCGCUGCCUUGUAGAUAAGUUGGAGUCUCUGCCACUGCACAAGAAAUGUGUCCCCACAGGGAUAGAAGAUGAAGAUGCUCUCAUUGCUGAUGUAAAGAUUUUGCUGGAGGAGCUUGCCAACAGCGAUCCCAAGUUAGCCCUCACUGGAGUUCCUAUAGUACAGUGGCCAAAAAGGGAUAAGCUUAAAUUCCCCACUCGGCCAAAGGUGCGGGUUCCUACCAUCCCCAUUACGAAGCCUCACACUAUGAAACCAGCUCCACGGUUAACACCUGUGAGGCCAGCUGCUGCCUCCCCGAUUGUGUCAGGAGCCAGACGGAGACGAGUGCGAUGUCGAAAAUGCAAAGCCUGUGUGCAAGGAGAGUGUGGUGUUUGCCACUACUGCAGAGACAUGAAGAAGUUUGGGGGGCCUGGACGCAUGAAGCAGUCCUGUGUCCUCCGACAGUGCUUGGCACCCAGACUGCCUCACUCAGUCACAUGUUCCCUCUGUGGAGAGGUGGAUCAGAAUGAAGAGACACAAGACUUUGAGAAGAAACUCAUGGAAUGCUGUAUCUGCAAUGAGAUUGUUCAUCCUGGCUGCCUCCAGAUGGACGGAGAGGGGUUGCUUAAUGAAGAAUUGCCAAAUUGCUGGGAAUGUCCAAAGUGCUACCAGGAGGACAGCUCGGAGAAAGCCCAGAAGCGGAAAAUGGAAGAGAGUGAUGAAGAAGCUGUGCAAGCCAAAGUCCUGCGGCCCCUGCGGAGCUGCGAUGAGCCUCUCACGCCCCCGCCUCAUUCACCCACUUCCAUGCUGCAGCUCAUCCAUGACCCGGUUUCCCCCCGGGGUAUGGUGACUCGGUCAUCCCCUGGGGCUGGCCCCAGCGACCACCACAGUGCCAGCCGCGAUGAGCGCUUCAAACGGCGGCAGUUGCUGCGGCUGCAGGCCACAGAGCGCACCAUGGUACGGGAAAAGGAGAACAAUCCCAGCGGCAAAAAGGAGCUGUCUGAAGUUGAGAAAGCCAAGAUCCGGGGAUCGUACCUCACUGUCACGCUACAGAGGCCCACCAAAGAGCUCCACGGGACAUCCAUUGUGCCCAAGCUGCAGGCCAUCACGGCCUCCUCUGCCAACCUUCGCCAUUCCCCCCGUGUGCUAGUGCAGCACUGCCCAGCCCGAACCCCCCAGCGUGGGGAUGAGGAGGGGCUGGGGGGAGAGGAGGAGGAAGAGGAGGAGGAGGAGGAGGAAGAUGACAGUGCAGAGGAGGGGGGUGCAGCCAGGCUGAAUGGCCGGGGCAGUUGGGCUCAGGAUGGAGACGAAAGCUGGAUGCAGCGGGAGGUCUGGAUGUCUGUCUUCCGCUACCUCAGCCGCAGAGAACUUUGUGAAUGUAUGCGAGUGUGCAAGACGUGGUAUAAAUGGUGCUGCGACAAGAGACUUUGGACAAAAAUUGACUUGAGUAGGUGUAAGGCCAUUGUGCCCCAGGCCCUCAGUGGCAUCAUCAAGAGGCAGCCAGUCAGCCUUGACCUCAGUUGGACCAACAUCUCUAAAAAGCAACUGACAUGGCUCGUCAAUAGGCUGCCAGGACUGAAAGACCUCCUCCUAGCAGGCUGCUCCUGGUCUGCAGUCUCUGCCCUCAGCACCUCCAGCUGCCCCCUUCUCAGGACCCUUGAUCUUCGGUGGGCAGUAGGAAUCAAGGACCCUCAAAUUCGGGACUUGCUUACUCCACCGGCUGAUAAACCAGGUCAGGACAAUCGCAGCAAGCUCCGGAACAUGACCGACUUCCGGCUGGCAGGCCUUGACAUCACAGAUGCCACGCUUCGCCUCAUCAUUCGCCACAUGCCCCUCCUGUCUCGACUCGACCUCAGUCACUGCAGCCACCUUACAGAUCAGUCCUCCAAUCUACUCACUGCUGUCGGGUCUUCCACUCGCUACUCUCUCACAGAGCUCAAUAUGGCAGGUUGCAAUAAAUUGACAGACCAGACCCUGAUCUACCUACGGCGCAUUGCCAACGUCACCUUGAUCGACCUUCGAGGAUGCAAGCAGAUCACUCGAAAAGCCUGCGAGCACUUCAUCUCAGACUUGUCCAUCAACAGCCUCUACUGCCUGUCUGACGAGAAGCUGAUACAGAAGAUCAGCUAAGACACACCCAGCCCAGACUCAACAGGAAACCGAUCUUCCCCUGACUCCCCACCGAGGAGAGCCUCUCCUCGACCCUGCACGGGCUCUGAGGCCAGCGUCACACUCCCUCUCUGCUCUCCUGUCCCUUGAGCCCUUCCUCUACAGGUGGGGCAGAGAGGGUGGUGGACACCAGGCUUACCUGCCUGCUCCUCUCCCUCCUAAGGAAAAGGGAGUAGCAGAUUGAUCUGAGGGGAAAGCACAGGCUGUGCUGUCGAGGCGCCUGCUCGCUUACUCGCCUGCCAGGAGGCCGGGCUCUCAGUUUGGGGUGUUUGUGCAACCUUCAUCUGCACUGGGCCCUGUGCCCCUCCUCCCCAUCCAUGGUCCCCAGCAGUGCCUGGUUCUGAGCAAACUCCCAGGGAAGAAAACGGCCCUGUCUCCAUGGCCAGGUUCUUGUGGUGUCCAGUGCGCGUCUCUCCUCCAUCACACUCUCCCGGCUUGUGCAGGAGGGGCCAGCAGCCCCAGGAGUCCCAGACCCGUGCCGAUCACACUGGUGCUGUUGAGAUGUCCCAAACCUCACGUCCUUAACUGUGCUCUCCCUCCUUUCCUCUCCCUUGAGCUUGGUUCUGCCCAGCACUCGUGCUCGUUCACAUAAUUAGGUUUCCCACCCCAGCUUACCCGACUUACUUGCUAGUCUCUAUGAGGUCCUUAUUGCACUUAUUGGGGUUGAAGCUCUUCAGAGGAGCUGGAACUGUCUACCCCAGGGACACACCCAUUUCAUUGCUACCCAAGUGGAUUCUGAGACAGGCACCAUCUCCUUGUUCCCCCUCUCUCUUUUGCCUCCCACUGACUGCCCUUUUCCAUGUGUCUUCAUUCUGCCUGAAGAAGGCUUUCCCAGGAUGCACGUCCUCAGAGGGAGCAGCCUAUCUCCCCCAAGCUGGAGGCGGCAGAGGACUGGGCCAAGCCCCAACCUGCCUCCCAGCCAGGCUCCUCCAGGCCUCUGGUUUAGCGGAGCCCCCUGAGCCCAGGCCUGUGUCUAGCCCCAGUGGCUCACUGAACUUUCAGGGCAGUCAGGGGGUCCUGCUUAGAAGCCAGUCACCAGCCCUCUGCCUGCAGCCAUGGAAGGGGGUGUGCAUGUGCCUCUGUGUGUGUGGCUGAGUGUAUUCUGCGCGUGUGUGUGGAGGGAGGGAGGGAGGGGAGCAUGGUGUCUCCCGCUCCACCGCCCUUUGUUGAGCCCCAUCAGCUGCCCCCUUUUACUUUGCAUUGAACGGCCUGUCCAAAGAUCCUCUCUCUAGGGCAGCAGAGAGCUUUUUGCACUUUAAAAAAAAAAGAAAGAAAGAAAGGUCGGAAUUUCUUUUGGGUCAAUAUUUUUAAGUGUGUGAGGAGAUGCUCAGUAGCAGCAGCCUAUGGCAAGAGCUUAUAAAUGAUUGAUGCAAAUUUGCACUCUGCUCCCCCUCUGUAAGGAUACUGAUAGCACAACCUCUUCUUCCCCCCACCCCGCCCCGCCUUUUGGUCCUCCAUCCCUGUCCCUUUCUGGCCCUCUUCCUGUAGCCCAGUCUCAGGCUUUCCUCUUCCUGAAGCCCUACAGAGUUAGGGAAUGGAGCCCAGGCACCAGGGGUCUAAAGUGUGAGCCACUGAGAAGAGAGACGCCAACUGCACCCUUGCCACUUCCAAAGCAAUAGAGGCAGAGUGGUCCCCUCUUUGCCACCUAGGCCAGUUUUGACCCUGGCAUUAACUGGCCUUAGAAGAAACUGGGUCCUGGUAGGGGGUGGCAUUUUGUUUGUUUCUUCCAAUCUGCUGAAUCUUUUGGCUGCACCUUACAAACAGCAGUCUGCUCCCAUGACCCUCUGCCCACUUCCAUUGGUCUCCAGGCCCCAAUAAUCUGGGGUUGAAACUUUGAGGAAAUGCCAGUGACUUAUUCCAGAGUGCCUCAGUUAGGGGAACUUCUCUGUAAAGAACCCUGGGUAUUGAGCAAAAACCUUAUUAUUGUUAAUGACCUAUAAUUGGAAGCUUCCUGCCUUUUUCUUUGGUUGCUCCUGUGGAAAAUACUGAAAAGAUUACUUUGUUUUAUUUUGUUGUCUUUUUAUAAAAGGGGAGGUGGAGAGACCCCUUCAGAGCAGGGAUUGUGCCGGGAGAGUGCCUCUGACUUUGGGACAUUUCAUCCACAGAAAUUUCCAAGCCAAUGGUUUCUUUUGGGUUUUGGUUUUUAUGUUUGUUUUUUGGGGUUUGGAAAAACAUGCAUUUUUACCGUGCACGUAAAUUGGUCAGCAGAAAAGGGAGCCCAGAAAAGGCAGCAGAUGGACCAUGCCCUUGCUGGGUUUUCCUUUUCUUUGGGACUGUGAGGGGAAAUGGUUUUUAGAGGUGAGGGUUGGUCCAUGUGGAGGAAAGAAGUGUCUCUGUUGGGGGACAGAGGAACCUGGGGAGUCCAUCGCAUGUCCUACAAUCUGCUCUUAGACACGGCCUUGCCAGGAGAGCCUGCCCUCAGACUGCAGGACCAGAACCCCUGCCUCCAUCUUUCCAAGCACCGGGGCGAAAAACCACAAAGGAAAGGAAGAAAAUUUAUAUAUAUAUAAUAUAAAAUCACUUGGUGAUUAAAAAAAUAACUGCUCCAUAAAUAAAACUCCUAAAGUCA
rnacentral:sRNA from 1 species